GACAGCAUGGCAUAGUGGUUUGAGUGUUGGAUUAUAACUCUGGAGAUCAGGGUUCGAUUCCCAGCUCAGCCA